rnacentral:rRNA from 1 species
UACGAAGGGGGCGAGCGUUGUUCGGAAUUACUGGGCGUAAAGGGCGCGUAGGCGGCCCUCUUUGUCGCGUGUGAAAGCCCCGGGCUCAACCUGGGAACUGCAUCCGAUACUGGAUGGCUUGAAUUCGGGAGAGGGAUGCAGAAUUCCAGGUGUAGCGGUGAAAUGCGUAGAUAUCUGGAGGAAUACCGGUGGCGAAGGCGGCAUCCUGGACCGACAUUGACGCUGAGGAGCGAAAGCCAGGGGAGCAAACGGG